GCCAGCAUCGUGUGGUGGUUUGCACAUUGGACUAGGACUCUAGGAGACCAGGGUUCGAAUCCCUGCCCAGCCA